rnacentral:rRNA from 1 species
CGUAGGGUGCGAGCGUUAAUCGGAAUUACUGGGCGUAAAGCGUGCGCAGGCGGUUUAGUAAGACAGGCGUGAAAUCCCCGGGCUCAACCUGGGAACUGCGCUUGUGACUGCUAAGCUAGAGUACGGCAGAGGGGGGUGGAAUUCCACGUGUAGCAGUGAAAUGCGUAGAGAUGUGGAGGAACACCAAUGGCGAAGGCAGCCCCCUGGGUCGAUACUGACGCUCAUGCACGAAAGCGUGGGUAGCAAACAGGAUUAGAUACCCUGGUAGUCCACGCCCUAAACGAUGUCAACUAGGUGUUGGGAGGGUAAAACCUUUUAGUACCGGAGCUAACGCGUGAAGUUGACCGCCUGGGGAGUACGGCCGCAAGGUUA